UACGGGAGGCAGCAGUGGGGAAUAUUGCACAAUGGGCGCAAGCCUGAUGCAGCCAUGCCGCGUGUAUGAAGAAGGCCUUCGGGUUGUAAAGUACUUUCAGUCGUGAGGAAGGUGUUAAGGUUAAUAACCUUAGCAAUUGACGUUAGCGACAGAAGAAGCACCGGCUAACUCCGUGCCAGCAGCCGCGGUAAUACGGAGGGUGCGAGCGUUAAUCGGAAUUACUGGGCGUAAAGGGCACGCAGGCAGUUAUUAAGUUGGAUGUGAAAUCCCCGGGCUUAACCUGGGAAUGGCAUUCAAGACUGGUUAGCUAGAGUCUUGUAGAGGGGGUAGAAUUCCAUGUGUAGCGGUGAAAUGCGUAGAGAUGUGGAGGAAUACCGGUGGCGAAGGCGGUCCCCUGGACAAAGACUGACGCUCAUGUGCGAAAGCGUGGGGAGCAAACAGGGAUUAGAUACC
rnacentral:rRNA from 1 species